GGGGCCGUACUUGGUUUCGACGGGGGUAUAGAAGUAAGAUAAGCGAGUCGUUGUCGCCAAACAACGAUAAAAGUGGCAACUAAAUAUAAACGCAAAAGAAAAUAAUAAUUUAGCAUUCGCUGCUUAGUCAGCUUGCUUGUCCCACUUAGACGACCUGCAGUCUAAACUGGGGCAUCAUUUGAAGCAGGGCACUGUAUUAAGGGUUCUCCGACUUAAUGUAGUAUAAUUGGGGAUAGCUGAUUGUAUAGCCUGUCGAUAGGCGAUGCAUGAGGCGAAUAAAAAAUUAUCGACUGCACUCGGAGAAAGUCUUAUGGAAAUAUUUUCGGACAGGGGUUCAACUCCCCUCGGCUCCACCA
rnacentral:tmRNA from 1 species